rnacentral:rRNA from 1 species
GACGAACGCUGGCGGCGUGCUUAACACAUGCAAGUCGAACGGAAAGGCCCUGCUUUUGUGGGGUGCUCGAGUGGCGAACGGGUGAGUAACACGUGAGUAACCUGCCCUUGACUUUGGGAUAACUUCAGGAAACUGGGGCUAAUACCGGAUAGGAGCUCCUGCUGCAUGGUGGGGGUUGGAAAGUUUCGGCGGUUGGGGAUGGACUCGCGGCUGAUCAGCUUGUUGGUGGGGUAGUGGCUUACCAAGGCUUUGACGGGUAGCCGGCCUGAGAGGGUGACCGGCCACAUUGGGACUGAGAUGCGGCCCAGACUCCUACGGGAGGCAGCAGUGGGGAAUAUUGCACAAUGGGCGGAAGCCUGAUGCAGCAACGCCGCGUGCGGGAUGACGGCCUUCGGGUUGUAAACCGCUUUCGCCUGGGACGAAGCGUGAGUGACGGUAAUGGGUAAAGAAGCACCGGCUAACUACGUG